GAUGAACGCUAGCGGCAGGCCUAAUACAUGCAAGUCGAACGGGGUCCUUCGGGGCCCAGUGGCGCACGGGUGCGUAACGCGUAUGCAACCUACCUUGGACUGGGGGAUAGCCUUCCGAAAGGGAGAUUAAUACCGCAUAACACAAUCUGAGGGCAUCUGAGGGUUGUUAAAGAUUCAUCGGUCCAAGAUGGGCAUGCGUGCCAUUAGCUAGUUGGCGGGGUAAGGGCCCACCAAGGCGACGAUGGCUAGGGGGUCUGAGAGGAUGGUCCCCCACACUGGCACUGAGAUACGGGCCAGACUCCUACGGGAGGCUG
rnacentral:rRNA from 1 species